AGUUUAACUGGGGCGGUUGCCUCCCAAAAUGUAACGGAGGCGCCCAAAGGUUCCCUCAGCCUGGUUGGCAAUCAGGUGGCGAGUGUAAGUGCACAAGGGAGCUUGACUGCGAGAGUGACAGCUCGAGCAGGGACGAAAGUCGGGACUAGUGAUCCGGCGGCACGUUGUGGAACGGCCGUCGCUCAACGGAUAAAAGGUACCUCGGGGAUAACAGGCUGAUCUUGCCCAAGAGUCCAUAUCGACGGCAUGGUUUGGCACCUCGAUGUCGGCUCGUCGCAUCCUGGGGCUGGAGUAGGUCCCAAGGGUUGGGCUGUUCGCCCAUUAAAGCGGCACGCGAGCUGGGUUUAGAACGUCGUGAGACAGUUCGGUCCCUAUCCUCUGCGCGCGUAGGAAAUUUGAGAAGGGCUGUCCUUAGUACGAGAGGACCGGGAUGGACGAACCUCUGGUGUGCCAG
rnacentral:rRNA from 1 species